rnacentral:misc_RNA from 1 species
UCCGUUUUGUCAACGGCAGUCUCAAUAGAGUGCCCGGCCGAACCGCUGGCAACUAAGGACAGGGGUUGCGCUCGUUGCGCCACUUAAGGCAACACCUCACGGCACGAGCUGACGACAGCCAUGCACCACCUGUGCAGGCUCCGAAGAGCGCCCGCUUUCACGGGUUUCACCCUGCAUGUCAAGCCCAGGUAAGGUUCUUCGCGUCGCAUCAAAUUAAGCCGCAUGCUCCGCCGCUUGUGCGGGGCCCCGUCAAUUCCUUUGAGUUUCAGCCUUGCGGCCGUACUCCCCAGGCGGGGCACUUAAUGCGUUAGCGCCGGCACCCGGAGGGUCGCUCCCCCGGGCACCUAGUGCCCAUCGUUUACGGCGUGGACUAC